GGGAAGCGGCUCGGGCUGGCGGUGCUGAGCGGGGGUCCGGGCGGCGGGGCGGUCCGCCAGACUGCCGGGACGUGGGGAGGAAUAGGAGCUGGAGAGCCGUUUCCCGCUGAGGGUGACCGCCAAAGCCAGUGUGCAAGGUGACCAUCCACUACAGCAGGAUUUGACUAUGUCUGAUCUAGAACCAGAUAAUGGGUUGCUGGUCAUGUGUGCUAAUGAGACACAGGAUCUGCUGACAACAGGAAUGAAGAAGAUGCUGCCUAGAAAGGUGCAAACCACAGAAGAAUGGCUAAGAAACUACAGUUUAGAAUCCUUGCAAUUAACAUUAGAGCAUCUGGUGAAUGAAGGCACUAUUAUUUUGGAUUCAAGGAGUGGUGCUGAAGGGAUAGAGCUGGCAGAAGAGGCUGUUACUAAUUUUGAGGCCAGAGUUUCUGAGGUGGUUGAACUUUAUCAGCAACGAAUUCAGUGGCUGUUGAAGGACAGCAGAAAGGUGUUUGGCCUUGUAAAAGGAACCAAAGUUGGACUUGUGGUUGAUGUGUCUGGUCUGAGUGACAGACCUAGACUAGAGGGUUUUCAGAAAGAUCUUUUGUCCUUAAUAGAUGAACAGCUGUGUUAUAAGAAGCAAUUGUACUGCCUCUCAUUUGGUACAGAAACUUCACCUCUGUGGGAGAGUCCAAAAAAUGUUGGUGUUCAUGUGCUAGGUGAAGCAAGACAGUGGGUACAGCAGCUGGCACCUGCAGGAGGCUGCAAUUUGCUGAAAGCCUUAAAACAUGUCCUUACAGUGAAAGAGCUGAAUUCUCUGGUGAUUAUAAUACGAAGCUGCCCUGAUCAGUCUCUGGAAAUACUGGCAGACUAUGCUCAGCAAUGUAUGCUAGGGAGAAAACUUCUGGUUCAUGCUGUUACAUAUGAUUGUGGCAGUCCUGCUGCUAUUGCAACUGUUAAACAGCUUGCAGAAGUUGUCAGUGGCCGCUACCAUUGCUACUCUUCAAAGGGAGAGAAUUCUGACAGUAGUGAUGUUAAUCUGCUGCUUCAGGAAUCACACAAGGCUCAGGACCUACUCCACAGUAUCAAGCAGACUUUUCAAAGGCGUGUUGAUGGCUCACUUAUUAGUGGAAUAGCAGACGUUUCCACAGAAGUUGCAAAUGCAGCAAUUCCUUGCUUCCUAUCAAGGCCUCCAAAGCAUGAAGGACCAUUAAUUAUUCAAACACCAGGCUUCCUGGCCAGAACUUCAACAGAAUGGUUAAAGACAAAUGGAUUGAAAGCUAAGAAGUUAAACCUUUAUCAAGUUUUGGCUCCCAAUGCUUUUUCUCCUGUGGAAGAAUUUGUACCAAUUCUUCAAAAAACAGUAUCAUCAACUCUACACGAGAAAGCUAUGAUGCAGUUUGAAUGGCAUGAUGGAACUGUGAAAAAUAUUCAUGUUGACCUGCCAAUAUUACACAAGUAUCAGAAACUCCUUGCCAAAAUGGUAAGAAUCUAUGAGAAACGAAUUAACUGGCUGUCUGUUGCUAGCAGAAGAAUUUGGGGAAGUGUUUGUGAGAGGAGGGUGGUUAUACUUGUUGAUAUAUCAGUGCCAAACUCCACCUGCAUCAUCCAUAUCCAACAUUCUUUGCGACUUCUACUUGAAGAACAGAUGUCAAAUAAGGAUUGCUUCAAUAUUAUAGCAUUUGGGAGCCACAUUGUGCCUUGGCAGAUGGAACUGGUUCCUUCCCAGCCUGAAAACUUACAAAAAGCUUGGAGGUGGGUAUUGAGGUUGCAGUGCAGUGGGAGUAGGAAUUUCAUGAGUGCUCUCAGAAGAGCUGUGGAAGUAGACUUCAAAGAAAAGGAUAAACACAAAUCACAAGGAAUUUACCUGCUGACUACUGGAAUACCUGAUCAGGAAACACACACAAUCAGUGCCUAUGUGGCUGAGGCUUGCAGAGGUUUUGAUUUGCAGCUUCAUGUCUGUCUGUUCAGUGUAAUGGAGGAUGCUGACUCCUGUGGGAUUAUUCCAGCCCGCUAUGCUACCCCGACAGAAACUGCCACUGCUUUUAAAGAAAUAGUACAGGCUGCCAAUGGGAGAUUUCAUUGGUUUGGAGAAGCAGGUAUUUUUGAAAGCGAUGAUAUCACUGUUCUUGUGUCUGAAAUGGAAAAAGCAAAGAACUACUCCCAAAAGUGUGCAUUCUUAGUGGAAUCCUUAAAGCAACGUUCAGGAAAUCAGCCUGCUGAUCCACUUAUAGCAGAAGCAGGCGCAACCGUGGCUGUCACAAAAGAGAAAAGAAGGCCGCAGAAGUUGCCAUCUCCAAAACCUACAGCUCUGAGUCUGGCUAGAAUGCACAUCAAAGACAAACACUGUGCGGAGAAAAAUGCCUCCAUCAGAGUGCCGGCGUGGCGUCCCACCAGUGCAAAAGCAGAAAUUCCACCAGUACAAACAAUAAAACAAUGGCCUCAGGCUGAGAACAGAAGAAAAUAUAAACCAAGGAAACAGCCAGAGUGUUCUGUGUCAGUAUUUUAUACUGACAAAGGAAGAAAUGUGGGUGCAGUAUUCCGAAGUUAUCCAAAGACUGUUUGCAUAAGAAAGCAUGUUCCCUCUGUCAGAUUGCCAAAAAAAGAGGAAAUCUGUUCAAGCAAAGAGUGGCUGACAAAGUACAGUAUUAAAAAGCUUAAACUGGAAUUGCCCAGACUGAUGUUUGGUCCAAGCUGCACUCACCAAAAGAAAAUUGUGGAGUCUCUGCACAAGAAAGUGUCAGCAAAGUACUGCAGUAUCUUCCCCAGUGUAGAAAUCAAUGGGGUUGUGAGACAUCUGCAGGUUCAAUCUAAAGAACUGGAAAUCUACAUUGAACAAAUGGAGAAGGUGUUGCUACGCUAUCUGCAGAGAAUACAGUGGCUUCUGUCAGGAAGUCGAAGAUUGUUUGGUACCAUUUUAGAAGCAAAUGUCUGUGUUUUGAUUGAUACAUCUGGUUCCAUGGACCCAUAUUUGCCACAUAUCACGAAGGAACUUACCUCCCUUAUCUGGGAGCAGCUGAGAAAAAAUGAAGUCAGGUUUAACCUGUUGAGAUUUGCAGAAAAUACAGAGAGUUGGAGGGAGCAUCUUGUAGAGGCAACUGAUAAAACCUGUCACGAUGCUGUGCAGUGGGUGUCCAAAUUCCAUGCUCAUGGUAAUACCUGCAUCCUUAUGGCUUUACAGAAAGCUCUCAGUUUCCAAGGUGUGGAGGCAUUGUAUAUAUUGACUGAUGGAAAACCAGAUACCAGUUGUAAUCUGAUUUUGAAAGAAAUUGAAAGAUUGAGAAAGCAACAAGAUAUUAAAAUCCACACCAUUUCUUUUAGCUGUGUAGACAGAGAGGCAAAUGAAUUUCUGAAGAAGCUUGCCUCCCAAACAGGAGGGCGCUACCACUGCAGCUUUGGAGACGUGGAUGGACAAUUAGCAGCACACCGAAUGCUGACAGAAGGAUUCGAUGAUGAGGAUGAUCCAGUUUUCCCGUACUUCGAAGGAGAUGAUUUAAAGAAACUUACUGAGGAAGUAGCAAAAGCUAGAGGUUUUUUAAAGCAGGCAAAAUCUUUCAGGCUAUUACUAGAAAAAUGGAACAUAAACCCAAAAGACAGUUCUGUUUUUAAAAACAGUGCUCAGGAUUAAAAUUUAGGCCAACAAGGGAUGUUGAAGAUGUUUGGAGUGGUACCACUAGCCUGCCUCACUUCAUUGCAUACUUAAAGCUUCCAGCUGCAAGUAUAAAGAGGGAAGGAUGUACUGUUGUUUUUUUCUUCCUCUAAACUUCUGGCAGAGGAGAGCUCACAAAUAAUAACUGUUGCCACCUUACUGCAUUUACAGGUGUUGCAGAACUCAAAGUAAAUCAAGACUUGAACUCUCCAAAGUCUAAACAUAAACAGAGGAUAGUUUUUAAUGUAAUGAAUAUAAAUUUUAGAGAAUGUAAUGGUUUUAUAAUGUAAUAGUUGUACAAGAAUCAGACCCCUAUUUCUCCACAGGUUAGGAAUAAUUAUUUCACCACAUCACACUGAUAAUUGCUUCAAUCAAUUGAUGGUAUGUCAAAGGUGUAUUUUUUUGGCAGUUGGUUUGAGACUUGUUUGCUGGUGCUCUCGUGACUAACAGAUGUGACAGAUGGCUGUGAUACUAGAAAGAGAAUUCUUUUCUUCAGUUUGAAUAACAAAUCCAAGAAAUAACCCUAGUGCAGAAAACAAAGUUGGAAUGACUUUGCUGAAAGAAAUUUGCUAAUAAUUAUUUUUACUCUUUCUGUGUUAUGUUGGCAGUAGAGAAGGACCAGAGUGCAUGAUUCAGAAAUCAUCAGGCAUGGACAUAAGGAAUAUCUUGAUACUGAUUAACACCUGGUUAUGUUUGUAUAAUCACACACUGCCAAUCUUCAAAGCGAUUCUAUUAAGUUCUUGUGCACUUCCUUUCAUAGAAAGAUUAAAAAUGUUUCCAGUGCCAUUUAAGAAAAUCCAGUAUUGAGGCACAUAUUUUUCCAGUUUAUGAAAUACACAUUUUUUUUAAUGAGGAACUCAGUGGUGAAGUUCAUUAGCAUUUUGUAGCUGUUUACUUUUGUCUUCCAGAGGGCUAGAAAUUCGUGGUUUUAGUAUAUGUAAUUUUAAUGAAAAUUGAUCCAGACUGCAAAAUUCAGAUACAUGGUGUGAGUUUAUUCAGGAGCCAUUCUCUUCUCCUGAGUGCCAACUGAUGGGAAUGGCUCAAUAAUUUGAUAUGGGAGAUGCCUCUUUUCUUUUCCUUCUUCUGUUUUAUCUCCAUAAAGAACUAAAACUUUUUCUUUCCAUCACAGAAGUAUCUUUUUACUGUUGUAUGCUCUGUACCAUCUUACUCCUGCCUUCCAUGUUGGCACCAGCCUACUGUGGCAGACUGCAGUUAAAAAGGCACAUUGUGCUAAGCAUCAUUUUCCACGAUUCUUGAUAGGAAAUUUCAGUAUAUCUUCUAUGUGUUAGUGUGUGUAUCGCUGCUGAGAUGCUUUGGUAUAAAGUCUUAACUGUAAGUCAAUAGGAUUAAUUGCAUUUUUAUUGGAUGUAUAUAAGUAAUAGAUGCUGACUACUGAUAAAAGGAGUGAAUUUGUUGAAACAGUAAAUCCAGGUAGAAGAGACAAGGUUUCUGUAUUGCCAACAACAGAUGCUUAUUUAUUCCUUGACAGAUUUAAGAAAUGUCUCAACGCUGGAGUGUAUAUUUUGAUAUUGUUACAGAGGUCCUUAGGAGGUAACCCUGAAUGUGAUCUCAUAGACUCUGUAUGAAAUAAGAAUUGAAACAUGUCAGUGUGCUGUGUUAGAUUGCAGUCUGGCAAACCUCUGAUUUACAGCCUUUUUUUUUCUGUAUGGUAUUUGGUUUUUGUAUUUUACUCAUUGGAAACAACUCAGUUUAUCCAAAGUCUCACAAACUGAUCAUAAAUGGAUCUGUGUAAUCCUGAGUUCACUGCACUGUUCACUAACAUUCUGAAAUUACAUAUACUUAAAACAUUGCUCAUUUGUUUGCAUUGGUUUAGUCUGGACAUAUGUUCAUAACUCUUUAUCUCUUGAAAUGCUCCCAGGUUCAGACUGUAAACUUAAAUAUGUGCAGGAAUUCAGGUAUCUUCUUGCUGGUGCUGUGAGCUAAGAGUUUCUGUUCAAGAAAAAUGCAACAGAAAAGGAAGGCACAGAUAUUUACAUUAAAAUUUGUGUAACCACAGAAGAUUCUAAAAGAGUCAGAUGUUGCAGUAUGUAGCCACUGUAUUCCAUCCUCUUUGUUUUCUGGGGGUUUUCAUCCAGCCUCUUUCCAUACUUCUGAGAUGUUGCAGGUUGAUCAGCCCUGCUGCCUGCUUACUUAGAACAGCUCAAUCCUUCAAAAUACAGUUUCUGUCUCCCACCUAUUGCCUACCUGGGUCAGCAGUGAUGACCAAAUUAAUCGAGUACUCUGUUAUUGACCUUUCUAUGUUGAUUUGUCACAUUUAUACCAUUUGCUUUCCUGGUUUAUGCUUUCUGGAAUGCGAUUUAUUUUAUUCAAAAUAUAAUAAAAGAGGAGUUUUAUAAUUGACAAAGCUGCAUAUUUUUCUGCCAUCUUCUUUGUAAGUCAUGUAUUUUCUGUGAUUCACUAAAUAUUCUGAUUUAUAUGCAGUGAAUUAAAGUGAAUUAAACCAGUUGCUACCUUGACGCUCUCAACCAUACAUCAGAAGUCUGCAGCAAGAAUUGGUGAUCUUUGUGUACAGAAAAUAUGCCUUCUGUUAAUAAUGGGAAUGAGAAUCUGCAUAUUUCUCUUAGGCAUGAAAUCACAGAAUGACCACAGGUAGUUUGCUGCCUAUACUUCACUUGGAAAUGGGAGAAUAACUCUUGUGCCUAAAAAAUUGGAUUGGAGAUGAAGGUAGAAAAAUCAAGAUGAAAGAGCUAAGUAUCACAGCCAAACAAUGUUUUUAUUUCUUCUCUCUACCCAAAUUUAGAUUGAAAAGUGUAGGUAGAAGGGAAAUGUACUUCAUUUCAAUCUGCUACUGGUUGAGAGGUAUCCUACCAACAUUUCAUAAUGAUUGAAUCAUUAAGGUUUGAAAAGGCUGCUAAGAUCAUCCAGUCCAACUGUCAGUGCCCCCCCACCAUGUCCACUAAACCACGUUCCUCAGCACCACAUCUGUCUUCUUCUUGAACACCUCCAGGGACGGUGACUGCACCACUUCCCUGUGCAGCCUGUGCCAGUGCCUGACUGCUCUUUCUGAGAUGCAGUUUUUCCUAAUAUCCAACCUAAACCUCCCCUGUGCAACUUAACAUUAUUUCUUGUCAUAUCUCUAUUAUCUCAGAGAAGAGGCCAACCCCACCUCGCCACAGCCUCCUUUCAGGGAGCUGUAGAGAACCUCUCCUGUGCCUCCUCUUUUGCAGACCAAACCAUCCCAGUUCCCUCAGCCUCUCCCCCUGUGCUUUAGACUCUUCACAGCUCCAUUGCCCUUCUCUGGAUAUGCUCCAGGGCUUCAGUGUCUUGUAGUAAGGGGCCCAAAACUGAAUACAGUACUCAAGAUGUGGCCUCACCUCCUGCAUCUGCUGGCACUAUUUCUGAUACAAGCCAGGAUGCCACUGGCUUUCUUGGCCACCUGGGCACACUGCUGGCUCAUGUUCAGCCAUCUGUCCACUAAUAGCCUCAGAUCCCUUUUCUCCCUGCAGCUUUACGCUCUGCCCCAAGCCUGUAGCAUUGCCUGGGGUUAUUGUGACCCAAGUGCAGGACCCAGGACUUGAUCUUGUUAAAGCUCAUAGAGUUGGCCUCAGAUGAACUCUUCCUGCCAGCUUGGUGUCAUCUGUGAAUGUACCGAAGGUGCACUCAGUCCCCUCAUCCAGAUCAUCAAUAAAGAAGUUACACAGGACCACCCCAGUACUGACCCCUGGGGAAUACCACUGGUGACUGGCUUCCACACAACUGUGAGAGAUAAAUUUGUUUUCAAGCAUUAGUGUUAAGAUUUUCAUUCCAGUUUUUCUAAGAACCUUUUUCUCUGUACUUUUUGUAAUCCCCAGGUGAGAUGUUUUAGUAAUCUAGUGCCAUUUCUCUACAGAAUGAUGUAACAGUAGUAUAUUUGUGUUGUCUAGUGUCUUAGCAAUGCUUUUACAAGGUAACAGUAAGAUAUUUAGAAGGAUCUGAUGUGGAGUUGUUUUUUUUUUUCCUGAAAAGGAAUGUAAAUUAUGUACAAAUUAAGCCCUGCCCUUUUUUGGCUCACAGCCCAGCCACCAACUACAAAGGAGCAGGAACAACAAAAGGACCUGAGCACACCUGAACAUCUCUGUUUGCCUGAGCGCCUUGUGUUACUAAUUGUUCAGCAAGACAAGUCUCUUGGUCUUACUUGGACAGGAAGCACGGGGAGAACGCUGACAUCCAGGAUUCUACCAAGGGUACUUACUAUUUCUUUAGCUAUUUUUAAAAACCUGAAAUGUUUGAAUCUAACUUUCUAGGGAGGAGUAAUUUCUACAUUUAUACAUUUGAAAUGGCAGUAGAGGAGCUAAGAA